GACGAACGCUGGCGGCGUGCUUAACACAUGCAAGUCGAACGAAGUGGCGAACGGGUGAGUAACGCGUAAUCAACCUGCCCAUCAGAGGGGGACAACAGUUGGAAACGACUGCUAAUACCGCAUACUGACGGUGGGGUUUGCGUCUGAUUAGCUAGUUGGGGGGGAAACGGCCCACCAAGGCGAUGAUCAGUAGCCGGUCUGGGAGGAUGGACGGGCACAUUUGGACUGGUAAACGGCCCAGACUUCUACGGGAGGCAGCAGUGGGGAAUCUUCCGCAAUGGACGAAAGUCUGACGGAGCAACGCCGCGUGAGUGAUGACGGCCUUCGGGUUGUAAAGCUCUGUUAAUCGGGACGCGGUACCGGAAUAGAAAGCCACGGCUAACUACGUGCCAGCCGCCGCGGUAAUUC
rnacentral:rRNA from 1 species